UACGUAGGGGGCAAGCGUUGUCCGGAUUUAUUGGGCGUAAAGAGCGUGUAGGCGGCCAGGUAGGUCAGCUGUGAAAACUCGAGGCUCAACCUCGAGACGCCGGUUGAAACCAUCUGGCUAGAGUCCGGAAGAGGAGAGUGGAAUUCCUGGUGUGGCGGUGAAAUGCGCAGAUAUCAGGAAGAACACCCGUGGCUAAGGCGGCUCUCUAGUACGGUACUGACGCUGAGACGCGAAAGCGUGGGGAGCGAACAGG
rnacentral:rRNA from 1 species